UACGAAGGGGGCGAGCGUUGUUCGGAAUUACUGGGCGUAAAGGGCGCGUAGGCGGCCUGCCAAGUCAGAUGUGAAAGUCCUGGGCUUAACCUGGGGACUGCAUUUGAUACUGGCGGGCUUGAAUGCAGGAGAGGAUAGCGGAAUUUCCAGUGUAGAGGUGAAGUUCGUAGAUAUUGGGAAGAACACCGGUGGCGAAGGCGGCUAUCUGGACUGUGAUUGACGCUGAGGCGCGAAAGCGUGGGGAG
rnacentral:rRNA from 1 species